AUGGACAUCAGCCGGGGACAGCUCACGGUCGGGCGUAUGCUGGCUGGAGGAGUCAGGCCUCUGUGGUUCUGGAUUCUGACUCCUCCACAGGUUCCUCAGAAAGAAAGAAAACAGAACAUCAGAAGCCAAAAAUUGAUCAAAGCAAUCCAAGUCAGCUAUAAUCCUGAUGAAACAUCAAAACCAAAUAUGAUAGAGCACUACUCAGAAUUCCAAGAAAAUGGUAGAAGGAAAUAUGAAGCAUUGAUUUUAACACAUGAAUCAAGUAUUUAAUUCAAUUUUUGCAGGAAAUACAUAAUUUAAAUCAUCAAAAGAUCAUUAACUUGAAACAGAAGGUAGCUCAACAUGAAGAAAAGUGCCAGGAACCUUGCAAAGACACAGCUCAAAUAUGUGAUACAACUGACAGAUUGUUAAGACACUGCCAAUAAGGGAGCCAAAGACAGUGGGCUUUACUUUAACAAACCUCUGGAAGCUAACCAGCAGUUCUCAGUCUACUGUGAAACUGAUAGAUCUGUAAAUGGAUGGACAGUGCUUCAGAAGAGACUUGAUGGCAGUGUGAAUUUCGGAAACUGGACUCAAUGUAAGGAAGGGUUUAGACAUCUGUCUCCUACUGGACCACAGAGUUUUGGCUGGGAAAUGAGAAGAUUCUUUUGAUAAGCACACAGUCUGCAAUCCCAUACGCAUUAAGAGUGCAACAGGAAGACUGGAAUGGCAGGACCAGUACUGCAGACUAUGCCAUGUUCAGGGUGGGACCUGAAGCUGACAAAUUCUGCCUGACGUAUGCCUACUUCAUUGAUGGAGAUGCCAGAGAUGGCUAUGAUUUUGUGGGCCAACCUCCGGGCACCCUAUGUGACCACCUUACCGUGGCCAUCAUGAUCUGCCCGCUCCUUGCCAGCUGGACCUAA